ACAACUCAUGUUUUAUUUGUUUCAUUUACCCAAAGUCAGGACCUGUUCUUCUUCUCUCCACGCCAUCACCACCAACUACCACCAUUGUUCUUCUUCUCCAUAAAAAAGUUUACUAUUUUCAAUCACCCAAAAUCACAUGCAAAUUCUUGGCUAAACUCCUCACAACCCAAGGAUUUAGGCAAUUAAGGUAAUAGAAAAAUAAACUCUUCUUUCCUCACCAAUCUCUCUGCCUCUCGUACUCUCUCAUUUUCACAAACUCCAAUUUCACUCUCAAUUCUUAGUUGCAUGUGUUGUUCAUUCAAUCAUAAGGAUAUGGGCCAUUGGACUUCUAAGGUAAGAGUAGUAAUUUCAGUUUCAUUCCUUUUCUCUAUGAACCCUAAGACCAAUAUAUGUCCCUACCCAUUGGAUUGAUUGUUUGUACAUGAUUUUAUGUUUUGGAACACUCAUGAGAGCUUGAGACCUGCAUUGAACAAGAAAAUAGGAAAGAAGAACAGAAAUUGGAAACAAGCAAAAAUUGGAAUGAGCCUAAGGAAAUUCGUGUUUGGGAUAUGCCUGCAGUAAAACAGGUACUGAUGCUGUCAAAUUCUGGGUUUUGGAUUGCGAGUUUUACGCGCUCGGAUGCUCGAGAGUGUACGGAUCAGUUCAGUGAUGCUGGAUAUCUCAGAUAAACAGGUUGCUCAAGGCAUGGAGGCUGCGAGCUAAGUGGAGCAGGAGGCAUCCAGAGAUAUUAAUUAGAUGUUAUCUGUUUCAAUUUAUGUGUCAUAAUGGUUGUACAAUAUUUUAUAUGUAUUAACCUUUUCAGUCCUACCAAGUUAGGCUUGUCUGGCGAAUAAUUACCUCGUAAUUCUACCAUGUUAGACAAAAGAAUUCUGUAAUUUUAAUGUAUCUCGAUUCAGUUAUGUAUACUCCUAUUGAUAUUCUAGAUAAAUUAAUAUGGGGUGUUAUAGAGUUUACCUAAAA